AUGAAGCUUGCGGAACCUGUCUGAACACUUUAUUCGCACAAAAAACUACAUCCACCAUCUCUGAGUGCUCAUUCUGGGCCAGGCCUUUUAUGUAUACAGCUCAUUUAGUCCUCACAGCAUCCCUUCAUGGUAGACACUUUCAUUAUUUCUGUUGUGUAAAUAAUGACUCAGGAAAAUUGAGUGCCAGGCCCAGGCUCACAGCCAGGCCUGGACUGGGCUUGGCUUACCUGGUGGGAGAUGCAAGGGCUCAGGGUGAUCUCCAGAGCGGGAGAUGCUAUACAGAUGUGGAAAGCUACCAUCAUUUCUCCAGAGGAGGGAAUGCACGGUACAGCCCAUGCUGUCUGACAGUGGGAGGGAGAGGAAAAAAAAGGAAUGAGUCCCAAACCCCUUUUGUUUCUUUCUAUGGCUCCCAGGAGCUUGUUUUUCACCAAGAUUGUAGGAUGUUGGUUUUCAAGGCUACCAUGUAGCUGGGAGGAUGUGAUGAGCGUAGAGCAAAUAAGACCAUUACAAAUCUCACCAUUCUAACCAAAAUUCAGCCUAUGUUCUUGAAUAAAUGCUCCAAGAUUACAGCAAACAUUUGGAUAUUUUCCAGAGUUCUGAAAAAGUUGCUUCUAUUUUUCUGAGUUGCUUUUAUGAAGACAGGAAUUUUAGAAGGUUCCUAGCUUGCCAUUUUUACUGACAUCACUUCCAAAUACACUUCUUUUUUUUUUUGAGAUAGAGUCUCGCUCUGUUGUCCAGGCUGGAGUACAAUGGUGCAGUCUUGGCUCACUGCAACCUCUGCCUCCCAAGUUCAAGCAAUUCUCCUGCUUCAGUCUCCCUAGUAGCUGGGAUUAUAGGUCCACACCACCAUGCCCAGCUAACUUUUGCAUUUUUAGUAGAGAUGGGGUUUUGCCAUGUUGGCCAGGCAGGUCUCGAACUCCUGAACUCAGGUGAUCCUACCGCAUCAGCCUCCCAAAGUGCUGGGAUCACAGUGUGAGCCACUGCGCCUGACCCCAAAUAUACUUUUAAAUACAUUUCUGAACUCACAAAAAUGUAGAGGAAGUACAAAAUGAUUACACACACACAUGCACGCAUGCAUGCAAACAAUCUAGAGGUGAAACUAAAGUCAUCAGUCAACACAGAAGCCAGAGAUGCCCUGGAAGUGUGCCAAAACCAAAAACCUAGAGCUUUGUUAGUUAAUAUUGCGGCUGCCUGAGGUAGUACAUAGGAAUUGGGGCAAUCAAUAGGAAAAUAAAAAUACUUUCUUUUUUAAAAAGCUGGGAAUGAGAUGUCAAUAGGGGACACUGAAAUGCUCUGACACAUUCCUGGGAAUCUUUUUCUGAAAAAGAUGAUGCUUGAGCUUAAGCUUGAAGGACAGUAAAUAAUUAGCCAGGAGGAAAAGUGGUGAGGGAGUUUCAGAGAAAAAGAUCAUAAUGAACAAAUACAUGGAAGCACUGAAUAGCAGAGGGACUUCAGGGGAAAUUAUAAACAUUUACCUAUUACUACAGUAACAAAGGUAGAGCAGAGAGGAACAGGAGAUGCCUGUCCAUUACAUGAAGAAGUAUAGACAUUAUUUAAUAGGAAAUAGGAGUCAAAAAAGGAUUUUAAGAAGGGACUCUCCCCAGUCAGUCACCCUGCUUGUGCCAAAGUAGGCACACACUAAAUUCAUUCAUUCACCUGCCCUCAUGGAGGACAUAGUCUUGGAAUCCGUGAUGGCAGAGCAGGAGGCCCUUAGAGAGCUCAUCCUCCCUCCCCUCACCAUUCAGGUGGGAGCUGGAAGUCCAGGGUUGGCAAGGGAUUUAUCCAAGUCACACAUGGGCAUGGGCAGACUCAGGUCUCCUGACUCCGUGCCUAAGGAUCUUCCUGCCUCUAUGUGACCUGUUUGUAGACUUUUCUCAGAAGUCAUGAGCCUUGAUGCUUUACCCCAGCCCACCCCGCACAUGCACUCCUGGUUCUGUUCCAGCUUGGGCCAUACUCCCAUGGUGCCCAAGGUGCUGAGUGAUCCCCACCACCCUGUUCUCUCCUGGGCAAACGUCUGUCAGAGGCUGAUGAGAUGAUGUUAUGCCACAUCUAACCCUGGAUACCCUCUAUUUAAAUUUCUAUAAAGCAGAUCACUUACAAACUUUAUGAUUGUAGCCACUGGUGUAUCAGUUGCUUGUGAGGCCCCUGCCCAUCAUCUCUGACUAAGUGGGAGAAUCCCAGCCUCACAGAAAAUGCUGGAUGGGGGAAAGAGCCCAGCAAAGGAGUUGGGAACAAGGAAAUGAGUCUCCGCAGCUGGAGAGUAGACUUGUUGGAGGGGUUUUCAGUCAACAACUGUUCUCUGGUGCCAGCUCUGUGCUAAGUCUGGUGCCUGGCACUGAGGGCACAGAGCUCAACAUGAAGAUCAAGAAGCUUUCAUCUGGUGGGAGUGAUUGUCCUUGAAGCAGGAGUGUAUACUUAUCUCUAGACAUGNNNNNNNNNNNNNNNNNNNNNNNNNNNNNNNNNNNNNNNNNNNNNNNNNNNNNNNNNNNNNNNNNNNNNNNNNNNNNNNNNNNNNNNNNNNNNNNNNNNNNNNNNNNNNNNNNNNNNNNNNNNNNNN
rnacentral:lncRNA from 1 species